GCAAGCGAGGGAACGCCCACAAAACGUCACAUCCGGUUCGCGCCGAGGGGGAAAACAAACCGGCUUCCACAAUGCCCAGGAGCUGCAGUGUGCCCUUUUGUACAACUAACAAGCUUAAAAAUCCAAAUCUAAAAUGUUAUAUUUUGCCCAACGGGAGCACAGAGCCCAGGAGAAGAACCCGGUGGCUUCAAGCGAUCCGUCGGGAGGGUGAGUUUGGCCACCUGUGGGAUCCAAAAUCCAAACAUGUGUACGUCUGUAGUCAGCACUUCAUUACAGGCUUAAAAAACGAGGACAUAGCCCACCCAGACUACACACCCUCGCUGUUCCCACAUAAAAAGACAAAGUCUCCCAGGUCAGUACUUCAGAGGCUGGAGAGAAGGAGGAAGCGUGAGGGUGUUCAGUCUGCCCAACCAGAAUCCCCAACAUCAGAGGGCCCAGCACCAGAAGCCCCAACAUCAGAAGCUCCCAUACCUCUUCAGGAGUUAGAGAGAAAACAACUUUAUGAAGAAUUGGAUAAUUUAAGAAGAGAAAGAGAUGAGGCCAUGAAGGAGCGAGCUGAAGCCAUCAGAGAAUUGGAGACGUUGAAAAUGUCGGUAAACAGAGAGAAAAUGACACUAAAUGUAAAGUCAUGACAGGCCUGUCAUGGACAGUAUUUGACACUCUUCAUCAGUACCUGGUACAGUUUGUUAAGUCACAGAAAACAUCCAAGAUGUCAACACAAGACCAGCUCUUUAUUACUCUGGUGAAACUGCGGCAGAACCCCUCAACCGAUAUGAUGUGUGGAAUAUUUGACCUGGCACAUAGCACUUUCCUGGAUGUAUUCUCCCGAUGGUUGGAUUUGAUGUACGCCAACAUUUCUUUUUUGAUUAAAUGGCCUGAUAGAGAGUGUAUCAGAAGCACAGUACCAGCAGAGGUUCUCUUCCAGUACCCUAGAGUGACUGCAAUUAUCGACUGCUUUGAGAUCAGAAUUGAACACUCAAAGAAGCUGAAAACAAGGCUGGGCAGGGAGGGCUUCAGAUGUGCAUAUUGUAAGGAACUCAGACUUCUUAUCUCAGAAGUUCCACCAUGCAGGAGAUCAGAUUUUAGCCGACAGGGGCUUCACUUUGAAGGAUGACUUUGCUGUUCUGGGUGCACAGCUCAUCACACCGUCUUUCACGAGGGGCCGAAAACAACUGUCAGCCGAAGAUGUUGCGAUCUGUGGUCUGCAGAGAGAGUCAUUGGGGCCCUGAAGAGCCGGUACCACAUUCUGGAUGGCCCACUUCCUCUGCGCCUGGUGAAGAGACUGCAGGAUGAGAGACAGAAGAGAGAAGAGGCCAUGAUGGAUAGGAUUGUGCAUGUCUGUGCAGCACUAAUGAACCUGUCUGGCAGUGUCAUGUACAACCGUUACAGAAUCUGAGAGUCCCUGAACUGAUCUCAGUGCUGCUCUGCUGCUGCACACCCUGUCACCCUGCCUCUGAUACCUGUCGCCCUGCCUCUGAUGCCUGUCACCCUCCCUCUGAUGCCUGACGCUCUGCCUCUG